rnacentral:rRNA from 1 species
UCUUCGGAUGUGUAUAAAGUGGCGAACGGGUGAGUAACACGUGGGCAACCUGCCCUUUGCACUGGGAUAGCCUCGGGAAACCGAGGUUAAUACCGGAUACUCCAUAUUUGUCGCAUGGCGAAUAUGGGAAAGCUCCGGCGGCAAAGGAUGGGCCCGCGGCCUGUUAGCUAGUUGGUGGGGUAGUGGCCUACCAAGGCAAUGAUGGGUAGCCGGGUUGAGAGACCGACCGGCCAGAUUGGGACUGAGACACGGCCCAGACUCCUACGGGAGGCAGCAGUGGGGAAUCUUGCACAAUGGGCGAAAGCCUGAUGCAGCGACGCCGCGUGCGGGAUGAAGGCCUUCGGGUUGUAAACCGCUUUCAGCAGGGACGAGGCCGCAAGGUGACGGUACCUGCAGAAGAAGCCCCGGCUAACUACGUGCCAGCAGCCGCGGUAAUACGUAGGGGGCAAGCGUUAUCCGGAUUCAUUGGGCGUAAAGCGCGCGUAGGCGGUCUGUUAGGUCAGGAGUUAAAUCUGGGGGCUCAACCCCUAUCCGCUCCUGAUACCGGCAGGCUUGAGUCUGGUAGGGGAAGAUGGAAUUCCAAGUGUAGCGGUGAAAUGCGCAGAUAUUUGGAAGAACACCGGUGGCGAAGGCGGUCUUCUGGGCCAUGACUGACGCUGAGGCGCGAAAGCUAGGGGAGCGAACAGGAUUAGNNNCCCUGGUAGUCCUAGCUGUAAACGAUGGACACUAGGUGUGGGGAGAUUAUACUUUCCGUGCC